UGGUAAGCAGAUUGUUAUAGAAUUGUACUAAACAAUAAAAUUCAUCUAGUAUUGGUACCUUUUCUUUUUUUCUUUUGCUAGAUGCUACUGCUAUCCUUUUUUCAUUUUAUUUAUUUUUAUCUUCAUGUCACAUCUCCUCUCUCUCCCCCCUCCUCCAUACAUGAUUAGGGCAGUGUACCAGUAUUGUACUAGACCAAAAUUUUAAUCCAUGACCUUAUAAAAUGUAUUUCUAUAGAUUUCACAUCAUACUUCACUUACUACAUGUCGUAAGUGAGUCCGGAAUUUACCAGUUUGAGUCCGGAAUUUACCAGUUUGAGUCGAAUUUCAAUUUCUGACAUCAAAAUGAGGUGAACUUCUAUUUUUC
rnacentral:lncRNA from 1 species